CCUCCUUAUAACGAAGUUGCACUUACAGAGUGUUCACACAAAUAAUUAAUUACGAAGUUUUAAGAGAGCUCUAACCCAUGCGCACAGUAUGUGCUCAUCAGUUAGGGUUUUUAACCCGGACGUGUAAACGUCAUGCUCUUUAACAAUUUGGAAAGCUGAUAAAAUAAGGUAAACAUUAUUGUUUAUUUAAUUUGUUAUUCAACAAUUUAAAAAAAUAAUUUUGAUUACCACUGUAAGAGAAAACUCAAGCGUUAUUUAUGUCAAAACGAACAUGCCUAUACAACAUGUCUCGUUAAUAAAUAUGACACAAGAUGAUGCAAUCGAGAAUGUGAGAACAUUUAAGGUUGUAUGGUUAAGUGAAUAAGCGUAUACGGUGGAUGC
rnacentral:misc_RNA from 1 species